rnacentral:miRNA from 1 species
AAUGAAUAAGGCAGAAAAGGACUUGCCGGUCGAUGAUUUAAUCUCACUUGCCAAAUUGGUUUUGGAAAAUAAUUUGGCAAGUGAGAUUAAAUCAUCGACCGGCAAGUCCUUUUCUGCCUUAUUCAUUGC